rnacentral:lncRNA from 1 species
UCCUGCUCCAAAACCUUCUAGGGCCCCCCGUGCAGAAUCUGCAGCCUGGCACAGACUCUGCCUCAGUUUCCUCUCCUUUCUCCUGCCCCUGCCCAGCAGCCAUCCAGACCUCUCAAAGCUCAGCAGACAAGCCCCAAACUUUCACAUAGGCAGGGCCCCCCACCAGGAGGGCCUUUUCCCUCCCAAGGGAAGUGGCCCCGCCCACAGCCCCUAACCAAUGGAAGCCACAGCUGAUUGGAGGAGACCUGACUAGUGGCAGCCAAUCAACAGGCAAAUCCCAAACCCCAUCGUGACUCCAAAUACUGAGCUGGACCAAUCAGAUGUUCUUCUGGGAAUUUGAAGUGUGACAACUGAAGCUGAGACAAGGACCUUAAGCAGCAGGAUGUGAGUCAGCAAGAAGCACCAAGCCUGGUGUUAAGGAGAAAGCUACAGGAUCUACUAACAAGGGAGUCAGUGUCAUAGAACUGAGGCAGUGGACAGAAUGUCAUCAGGACUGGACACAUCCCCAGCCCACUCCCUGCUGGCCAGGGGCUCUAGAAGCGGCCAGACAACCUGGAGUGGAUUCUCAAACAGACGCCCACUGAUCUCACCCCAGGACAAUCCGGCCCUUGCCCACCUUCCCAGCCUCGGUGCUCACUGUCCAGCCACUUGACCCCUUGCAUCCCUGCAGAUCACAAAUACCAUGCUUUCCCCCUCACCACAGGGCCUUUGCACAGACUGUUCUCUCUGCCUGGACCACCCUCACCAUACUUUUCUCCAUCCAACAAACUUUUAUAUACUCAGAGUUUACAUCCUGCUAAAUCUUCAACAUCCCCAAGUAUUGGGAGUUAAUAUUAUCACUCCCAUUUUACAGAAGAAGCUGAAGCACAGACGGGGCUAACCCUGCACUGUCCCAUUUAGCAACCUCUGUCCUCACAUGUGGCUCUUGAGCACUGGAAAUGUGGCUGAUCCAAAUGGAUAUAUUCCAUGAGUGUAAAAUACACCCUGAAUUUCAAACACUUGGUAUGCAAAAAAGAAUGGAAAACAUCUCAUUAACUUUUUCUAGAUUGAUCCUAUGCUGAAAUCAUAUUUUAGAUAUGCUGGGUUAAAGAAAAUACAUUCCUGUGGCUAAUCUCACCCAUCAUUUAACUUUUCUUUCUUUC